rnacentral:rRNA from 1 species
UACGUAGGGUGCAAGCGUUAAUCGGAAUUACUGGGCGUAAAGCGUGCGCAGGCGGUUUUGUAAGUCUGUCGUGAAAUCCCCGGGCUCAACCUGGGAAUGGCGAUGGAGACUGCAAGGCUAGAAUCUGGCAGAGGGGGGUAGAAUUCCACGUGUAGCAGUGAAAUGCGUAGAGAUGUGGAGGAACACCGAUGGCGAAGGCAGCCCCCUGGGUCAAGAUUGACGCCCAUGCACGAAAGCGUGGGGAGCAAACAGG